rnacentral:rRNA from 1 species
GAUGAACGCUGGCGGCGUGCUUAACACAUGCAAGUCGAACGAAGCACUUUAAAACAAUCUUUCGGGUGCGUUUUAUUGUGACUUAGUGGCGGACGGGUGAGUAACGCGUGGGUAACCUGCCUCAUGCAGGGGGAUAACAGUUAGAAAUGACUGCUGAUACCGCAUAAGCGCACAGUGCCGCAUGGUACAGUGUGAAAAGAUUUAUCAGCAUGAGAUGGACCCGCGUCUGAUUAGCUAGUUGGUGUGGUAACGGCUCACCAAGGCGACGAUCAGUAGGCGACUUGAGAGAGUGAUCGGCCACAUUGGGACUGAAACACGGCCCAAACUCCUACGGGAGGCAGCAGUGGGGAAUAUUGCACAAUGGGGGAAACCCUGAUGCAGCGACGCCGCGUGAGCGAUGAAGUAUUUCGGUAUGUAAAGCUCUAUCAGCAAGGAAGAUAAUGACGGUACUUGACUAAGAAGCCCCGGCUAACUACGUGCCAGCCGCCGCGGUAAAAC